AAGACCGUCUUCCUCAUUUUCCUCUUUCCACGUUUAUCAUUUCCAUGAAGGUAGUCCAAAUCUGGUCCCGCUCAUGAUGAAGAUGUCGCGGAUUUGGCCGCCAAUGGGCGAAACGCUGACGAACAUUUGAUUUCCAACGCGUCCCCCUUUUUUUCUCUCUCCUCUCUGUGGUGCCUCCUCCCCUUUCUUUAGGCUAGUUUUUUGGGCUACGCUGCUAGCGCCACAUAAGAAUACAGCAAAGGACGGAGGAGAUAACCCUGUUGAUAGCGAGCGUCUCCCCCAAACAUUACGCAGUCGACGAGCGGAGAAAUGCCUAAUUUAAAUGUUCGUCCAUUUCAUGCAAGAAUCCACCGACACGGAGCACCCCUCCUCCUCCUGUCUGUAUGCUAACAGCAAGCCGCAGAUGCUAGCUGUCAGGAACGACGCAUACGAAUAAAAGUGGCUUUAUAACGCCCUUAUUAAAUGCCAACCACCCGCAUUUUAACCUCAUGGUAUUUCACCUAUAAGCGACUAUAUAUCGAGGACGCAAAUUAAUGGUUAGAAACAAUAAACCGAGCAGGGAAGCUUGAAAAAAGCAGGCCGCGUUUUUUUUAUAUACAUCUUUACUAAUUUUCAUCCGUAGACGCCAUAUUUGAAGGCGGCUCUCUUCGUCCUCGCUGGUUCUCUCGGCUUCGCCUCCGUGAUGACUUCUCUUUCUUUUCCCAACGUGUCUGCUAACCAGCUCGGCAUGCUUUUCCACAUUUUCGCCUCUUUGUUAAGCUAAUGAUGCAAUUGAUACCAAACACAGAACAACGCUACGCAGCUACAACGUGUUGUGGUAAACAUUUGCACCUGGACAUAUUUGUACAGUUUAACAAUCAAAUUUUGAAUUGGUUCUUAACAGAAGCGACAACAUUUCCCACACUAGGAUGAAUACAAUGGUCCAUAGUGACAAAGUGCACUGAAAAUAUGAAGAGUUCAAACAAACAGUACAGUACACAAGCUAUUUCUUCAAUUUGGUCUGCAUGUCUAUUCUAAAUGCAGGUCAAAUGUACGCCAGUAGAUGGUAGCACUGGAGCAAUACCAAGUGCUGAUUGACCAAAACAAUAGGAACACCUACACAGAAGGUGAGACAUAAAAGGUCCUUCCUGUCCAUCGGUGACAACCAAAUAUAUAAAUAUAAACCUAUCGUUCAAUUUCAGUGGUGUGCCAUCAACCCUAAACAGGAUCAGCACGGCUAAAAAUAAAUGUACAUCCUGCAUUGUAAUAUUGAUUCCAUAAAAUUCUUAAUUUAUUCCCAACAGUGUCAUCUCCAAAUAUCAGUCUCCCAGAUGGCUGCAUUGCUUCUAGUACAUUAAUGUGGAUGUCGCAUUUUCUUUGUCCAAUCAAAUUUCAUGCUCCAUGUGCUGUCAUGCCAAUCUACUUGCCUAAGGCCUUCAAUAAAAAUGAAUAAUGUUGCCGGUCGUUGUUAGUUAAACUAUGUUAAUAAUUGGACUGUUUCAAUCCAGCAAUCUAUGCACAUUAAUUUAAUUGGCAGGCAUUUCUAGUAAGUGUGAUGUAUAGUGUUUAGAUUCUUUAUGUUGUUAUGAUAUCCUCUAAAAUAUUGUUUAUGGACAGCUGCAGCUUUUGUACAUGACAUACUUCCAUGCUGUUAUAUAUGCCCUUUUAUGUAUAGUGUCUAUGAUUUCUAAUCUAUGAUUCUGACAGUAUCAUUGUGACUUUAAUCAAUUGUUUUUUAGGCAAGCACCCACUGAAGGCCAGGUUCCAAAUAUAGCUUGCCUUGGUCAAAACAGAGUAACAUGCCUUGAAAAUGUGUAGUGUAGUAUAGCAACAUCACACGACAUACGUAUUAUCAUCGGAAAAGCAAAAUUAGUGUUGUAAAUUUUUGCUACCUGAAGGUUCAGUCUAUAACUAAAAUAUUACAUACAUGGUUUUGUUUUAUGAUGGGAAAAAUGAGACACUUAUCACACUGUUGCUAUAAUUUGUGUCGUAAACAGUUGUAACAUCAGAUUGGAAAAACAAUCUUGAUUCAAAAAUAUGCUUUAAUACUGCCUACCAGUUUGCCCGCAAUCAAUAGUUUUCUUGCUAAAAGAAACAGUUUUUUUUUUUGUUCAGGAAAGUGCCACAUAAUUUUAAAUGUCACAUUCAAUGCUAAUGCUAGUUUGUUGGUUCAACAAAUGCUAAGCCAACAAAACCACUGUAACACAAAAUCAGGAUCUCCAGCCUCCUUUUGGAAAAAGCCCCUCUGUCAGCUCCCCUGCUGAGACUAUUUUAGAUGCAUUAGGGGGUCUUUGUAAUGCACAAUGUUUGCCUCAAAAGGUCUGUUAUCAGCAUAUUCAUUAAGCAGACUCUCAAAACAAAAGAAGAGGAAUUCAAGUGUUUAACAGUCCUUGAAUUAAAGGGGUGGGAGUACACAUGCAUGAGGAUAAAUAAAACAAAAGCACAGACCUGUAGAAAAUGGGAGGUUAAAUUUUAACAUUAGAAGUUUAAAACAGGUACAAAAGUACACUGGAAAGUCUGCACACCCUUGUUUAAAUGCCAGGUUUAUGUAAAAUAAAUUAAAGAAAGACAAGAUAUUCAAUGAGCCUUUGAUUAAGAUUAAAAUUCAACUAUCAUCAAAGUGAUUAAACCCUGCAAUUCAGCGGGGGAGUGUAGACUUUUUAUAUCCACUGUACUUUUCCCACGUCUGAGCUGCCUCUACAUGACACCGUCACACUUCAGAACUCUCCCCCGCCCCACCUAGUCUAGGCCAUCUCUCCUCUUUUCGUGUCUUAUAUAGCAGAUGUGCACUUGACCGCAAACUCUUGCAAGCACGCUCCCGACACACCGCAGCUGUUCUGUCAACAUGCCAGGCUCUGACGAAGCUGCACCGGCAUCAUGCCAGGUUAUCAACGCAGACGCUGGCAACUGUAUCAGAGAGAAGGGAGCAGUGGAGUGUAAAGACCUCCUAGAUGCCUUCCAUGCCUGUGCAAAGACCCUAUCUGAAGGAUCAUGACAUAUGAACACUUCCAGGAAGACGUGGACUGAACCAUCUGAAAAAAUGCAGAGUGGAAGACAUGUCUGUGCAAUUGGCUUUCAUCCAGCAGCGUUUGUAAAUACUGUUAUUACUGUAUUUUAUGAUGAUUGACUGUCAACGCUAUAUUUCUAUGGACCUAUUUUUCAAUAAACUAAAAUGACUUCAAAAGCACACUAUUAUUUCCUUUAACCCUUUAACAUUGGACGUGUCGGCGGCGACACGUUUACGUAUAUCAUCUUUGAUGCCUCGUCACGCUGUAAUUACCCACGUGCCACUGGUUGGUCUCAUUUGACAGUGCGGAAGUUGAAGUCCACGCCCGUUUUUACUUGAAGUCAAUUGACCAAGUGAAACGGGAGAUAAUGUCAUUUGAGUUCAAUAGUUUUAUUGCCCUCAUAAAUAAUCAUUAAAACACUGCAUGGACCAUGUAUUUAUGUCCAUAUUUCCAUCAUUUCUUGUCCUUUUUCAAAACCCAAAGCGCCACAAAAGACUACAUAUCCGAGGAGCCAUUGUGAGGUCACGAAGAAUGGAUGUAAUGUGAACAUUUUUAAUAAAUUGCCGAGCCGAGGCACCAGUUAAGGAGAAGGAGGCGAGGUAGUGAUAUCCUCUAAACCCUUUUUGUGUUAGAUGAUAUAUAUGUAUUUAUAAAUAUAUUUUUUUCACUAUUUUGCACUGUUGGUCUACUGUAUAUAACCUGUUUUAACCAUAGUAUGUGUAAAGGCCAAAAACACCUAUGAUCAUACCUAUUGUUUGUGUUGAACUGUCAAAUAUAAAACUAUUCAGUCUUAUUUUUUCUGUUGAAUGUUUAUCCUAACAAGGUGAAUAAAUAUUAUCAAGCUUCAAAACGGUUCGUCGAGCAUGUUUGGUUGUCAAUGGGACAUCAAUAUUACAAAUUUUGACAAAAGAUUUGGGAAUUUUUUUGUCUUUUUGGGUCCAAAAUGUUCAUUAUAAUU